rnacentral:rRNA from 1 species
CAGCCGCCGCGGGAAUACGUAGGUGGCAAGCGUUGUCCGGAAUUAUUGGGCGUAAAGGGCUCGCAGGCGGUUUCUUAAGUCUGAUGUGAAAGCCCCCGGCUCAACCGGGGAGGGUCAUUGGAAACUGGGAAACUUGAGUGCAGAAGAGGAGAGUGGAAUUCCACGUGUAGCGGUGAAAUGCGUAGAGAUGUGGAGGAACACCAGUGGCGAAGGCGACUCUCUGGUCUGUAACUGACGCUGAGGCGCGAAAGCGCGGGGAGCAAACAGGAUUAGAUACCCCCGUAGUCCCUGUCUCUUAUAC